CAGUCGCCGCGGUAAUACGAAGGGUGCAAGCGCUAAUCGGAAUUACUGGGCGUAAAGCGUGCGUAGGCGGUGAGUUAAGUCUGCUGUGAAAUCCCCGGGCUCAACCUGGGAAUGGCAGUGGAUACUGGCUCGCUAGAGUGUGUCAGAGGAUGGUGGAAUUCCCGGUGCAGCGGUGAAAUGCGUAGAGAUCGGGAGGAACAUCAGUGGCGAAGGCGGCCAUCUGGGACAACACUGACGCUGAGGCACGAAAGCGUGGGGAGCAAACAGGAUUAGAUACCCGCGUAGUCCCUGUCUCUUAUAC
rnacentral:rRNA from 1 species